CGGCGGACGGGUGAGUAACGCGUGGGCAACCUGCCUUCCACUGGGGGAUAACACAGGGAAACCUGUGCUAAUACCGCAUGACAUCACAUAGGGCAUCCUGUGUGAUCAAAGGAGUGAUCCGGUGGAAGAUGGGCCCGCGUCCGAUUAGCUAGUUGGUGAGGUAACGGCUCACCAAGGCGACGAUCGGUAGCCGGACUGAGAGGUUGGCCGGCCACAUUGGGACUGAGACACGGCCCAGACUCCUACGGGAGGCAGCAGUGGGGAAUAUUGCGCAAUGGGGGGAACCCUGACGCAGCGACGCCGCGUGAAGGAAGAAGGCCUUCGGGUUGUAAACUUCUUUGAUGAGGGACGAAGGAAGUGACGGUACCUCAAAAACAAGCCACGGCUAACUACGUGCCAGCAGCCGCGGUAGUACGUAGGUGGCGAGCGUUGUCCGGAAUUACUGGGUGUA
rnacentral:rRNA from 1 species